rnacentral:rRNA from 1 species
ACGCUGGCGGCGUGCUUAACACAUGCAAGUCGAACGGAGUUCCUUGGAUAGAGGCUUCGGCCAAUUGAAUUGGAACUUAGUGGCGGACUGGUGAGUAACGCGUGAGGAACCUGCCUUUCAGAGGGGGACAACAGUUGGAAACGACUGCUAAUACCGCAUGAUGUAUUCGGGCGGCAUCGCUUGAGUGCCAAAGAAUUAUCGCUCUGAGAUGGCCUCGCGUCUGAUUAGCUAGUUGGCGGGGUAACGGCCCACCAAGGCGACGAUCAGUAGCCGGACUGAGAGGUUGGCCGGCCACAUUGGGACUGAGACACGGCCCAGACUCCUACGGGAGGCAGCAGUGGGGAAUAUUGGGCAAUGGGCGCAAGCCUGACCCAGCAACGCCGCGUGAAGGAAGAAGGCUUUCGGGUUGUAAACUUCUUUUAUCAGGGACGAAUUUUGACGGUACCUGAUGAAUAAGCCACGGCUAACUACGUG